rnacentral:rRNA from 1 species
GACGAACGCUGGCGGCGUGCUUAACACAUGCAAGUCGAACGGCAACGCAGUGCUAUCGUGGGCUGACCGAUGGGCGAACGGGUGCGUAACACGUGUGUAACCUGCUCUAGUCUUUGGGAUAACUUAAGGAAACUAGGGCUAAUCUCAUAUCGGAGCCCACGCACCAGGGUGGGGGGUGGAUCUUUUCGGCGGGUGCGGAUGGAUUAGCGGGUGUCCGGCUUGUUGGUGGGCGAGUGGCUUACCCAGCGAUUGACCGGUCGGCGGCAUGGGAGGGUGACCGGCGACAAUAGGACUGAGGUACGGACCAGACGCGUACGUGGGGCAGCAGUGGGGAAUAUUACACAGUGGGCGGAAGCCUGAUGCAGCGGCGCCGCGUGCGUGAUGACGGCCUGCGGGUUGUAAACCGCAUUCGCCUGUGACGAAGCGUGAGUGACGGUAAUGGAUGAAUAAGCACCGGCUAACUACGUG